rnacentral:tmRNA from 1 species
GGGGGCGAUCGGUUUCGACUGGAAGUUUCCAGGCUUGAGUGGCGUGCCGAGGUUGCGGAGAUGGCCUCGUUAAACCCUUCGCAAAGGCUUAACUGCCAACAAAAAUUACUCUCUCGCUGCUUAGGUAGCGCAUCUGGCUUGUCUUCGCCCGCUGGGCUAACCAGAUGACUGAUCGCGGGCUAGCAAACGGACCCUGGCUCGGGGAAAGUAAGCGAAAUUCAAGGAGCUGGCCAUGAAACCCGCCUGUCCGUUGGCAGGAUUCACGGCGAGAUUUGAGAACGGACUACGCACGUAGAAGCUUCUGUUUGGCCUUGUCAGGACGCGGGUUCGAUUCCCGCCGCCUCCACCA